UAAACGGACCAUCGAGUAUCCAUUGGAGGGCAAGUCUGGUGCCAGCAGCUGCGGUAAUACCAGCUCCAAUAGCGUAUAUUAAAGUUGUUGCAGUUAAAAAGCUCGUAGUUGGACUUGUGUGCGCUGUCCGCGGGUGGCCUGCGCCCAAAAGGGCGUUUCGGUUCGGCCCCGGUGGCGCCUUGAAAUCUGCAGCUGGGGGGACGUUGGCCUUAACUGGUCGGCGACCACACGCCGGCUGCUCGGUUACUGUGAGAAAAUUAGAGUGUUCAAGGCAGGCAUUGGGUGCAAUUGAAUACAUUAGCAUGGAAUAAUAAAAUAUGGCUCCUGCCGUAUUUUGUUGGUUUUGACUGGUGGGGGUAAUGAUUGAUAGGGACGGUUGGGGGUGCUAGUAUUGAGCGGCCAGAGGUGAAAUUCAUGGAUUCGCUCAAGACUAACUUAUGCGAAAGCAUUCACCAAGGACGUCCUCUUUAAUCAAGAACGAAAGUUGGGGGAUCGAAGACGAUCAGAUACCGUCGUAGUCUCAACCAUAAACUAUGUCGACUUGGGAUUGGCGGUAGUUUUUUCAUUAAGACACUGUCGGGACCACGGGAGAAAUCAAAGUGUCUGGACUCUGGGGGAAGUAUGGUCGCAAGGCUGAAACUUGAAGGAAUUGACGGAAGGGCACCACCAGGAGUGGAGCCUGCGGCUUAAUUUGACCCAACACGGGGAAACUUACCAGGUCCAGAGAUGUAGAGGAUUGACAGAUUGAAGCUCUUUCUUGAUCACUUCGGUGGUGGUGCAUGGCCGUUCUUAGUUGGUGGAGUGAUUUGUCUGGUUAAUUCCGUUAACGAACGAGACCUCAGCCUGCUAGUGUAGUCGGCUGGAUUGCCUUUGGCGAUCCGUGAUUUCGACUUCUUAGAGGGACAAUCGACGCGCAGUCGAUGGAAGUUUGAGGCAAUAACAGGUCUGUGAUGCCCUUAGAUGUUCUGGGCCGCACGCGCGCUACACUGCUGGGCUCAGCGAGUUUUACUUGGCCGAGAGGCCCGGUUAAUCUUGUGAGAUCCCAGCGUGCUUGGGCUCGCCUCCUGCAACUGGAGGCGCCAACGAGGAAUUCCUAGUAGACGCAGGUCAUCAACCUGCAUCGAUUACGUCCCUGCCCUUUGUACACACCGCCCGUCGUUCCAUAAGAGUGAGGCAUCCGGUGAAUUCUCGGGAGAGCCUGGGCGUGGCCAGCAAUGGUCUGCUCGGGUUUGAACUUGCAUAAACUUGGUGCCUAUGAUUAGGG
rnacentral:rRNA from 1 species